CACCUGCCAAAAGCAAUCCUAUCCAGUCACAAGUGGUACCACCAGGAGAACCAAAAACUUAUUGUAAUUAUGUGGGUAUCCAAUGUACUGAAACAACAUGCUUCAAACACCAAAACAUAAUUGCCACGAUCAGAAGGUGCUUCAAACUUGUUUCCAAACAAUUAGAAAUGUGUUAUGAUGCAACCAUGUGUAAUGUUGCAACCAGAAUUCCAGGUGCAAUUUCAAUGGGCUAGAGGUCACAUCAAGUUUGUCUUGCCAGUGAAACCAUAAUGCCCCCUCCAAAUAAUGACUCGGAAUACAUAUAUGUAAAUCUAAGGCACUAUCGUACCUUUGUUUUGAACA